rnacentral:rRNA from 1 species
UUCCGGUUGAUCCUGCCGGAGGUCACUGCUAUUGGGAUUCGACUAAGCCAUGCGAGUCGAGAGGGUUCGGCCCUCGGCGAACUGCUCAGUAACACGUGGAUAAUUUGCCCUUAGGUGGAGGAUAAUCUCGGGAAACUGAGAAUAAUACUCCAUAGAUCUAGGAUGCUGGAAUGCACUUAGAUUGAAAGUUCCGGCGCCUAAGGAUAAGUCUGCGGACUAUCAGGUUGUAGUCAGGGUAAAGUCCUGACUAGCCUACAACGGAUACGGGUUGUGAGAGCAAUAACCCGGAGACGAUAUCUGAGACACGAUAUCGGGCCCUACGGGGCGCAGCAGGCGCGAAACCUUCACAAUGUGCGAAAGCGCGAUGAGGGGAUCCCAAGUGCUUGCUCGUAAGAGUAAGCUGUUUUUAUGUCUAAAAAGCAUAGAGAGUAAGGGCUGGGUAAGACGGGUGCCAGCCGCCGCGGUAAUACCUGCAGCUCAAGUAGUGACCGCUAUUAUUGGGCCUAAAACGUUCGUAGCCGGUUUGAUAAAUGCCUGGGUAAAUAGUGUAGCUUAACUAUACGAAUUCCGGGUAGACUGUUAGACUUGAGACCGGGAGAGGCUAGAGGUACUCCUGGGGUAGAGGUGAAAUUCUGUAAUCCUGAGGGGACCACCAGUGGCGAAGGCGUCUAGCUAGAACGGGUCUGACGGUGAGGAACGAAGCCCUGGGGCGCGAACCGGAUUAGAUACCCGGGUAGUCCAGGGUGUAAACGCUGCUUGCUUGAUGUUAGUUGGGCUCCGAGCCCAAUUAGUGUCGGAGAGAAGUUGUUAAGCAAGCUGCCUGGGAAGUACGAUCGCAAGAUUGAAACUUAAAGGAAUUGGCCGGGGAGCACAGCAACGGGUGGAGCGUGCGGUUUACUGGAUCAACGCCGGAAAUCUC